CAUCUACACCCGCUGCCCUUAGGUAAAGAGCAUCCCAGGGCGCCUGGGUGGCUCCCUCGGUUCGACGUCCACCUUUGGCUCAGGUCAUGGUCUCGCAGUUUGUGAGUUCGAGCCCCACGUCGGGCUCGCUGCUGUCAGCAUGGAGCCUGCUUAGGAUCCUCUGUCCCUCUCUCCCUGCCACAACCCCGCUUGUGCUCUCUCAAAAAUAAAUAAAACAUUAAAAACAAAAAAGAUAUUCCACAUGGCCUGGAUGGGGUUGGUACAACCAGGUGAGAGGCGUGAAGAACAGAGCUGAGGUUUCCGUGAUGAGAUUCGGUCAGUGUCCACUCCCGGGGUCCAGCCUGCUCCAGGGAGUCCAGACUGGCUUAGCCUAGUGGGUCAAUCUUUCUCCCUCCCGCCUCCGCUCUGUUUCUUUAGUGGAACCCUGACUGAUGCCCCCACUUUUCCUCAUCUGUAAAAUGGGUAGCCAUCCUUAACCCUGAGAGCUGCCUUGAGAAUUAAACAAGGUGUGUGCCCACGCCCAGCACAGAGCAAACGCUUGUUAAGACCAGGCGUCUUGUCCCCUUCUUAGCAAGCGGCCUGGGCGGCCAGCCUCCCCCAGCAACAGCCAGGGUUAGCCUGGGUGGGCAAGUAAGAAGGAGUUCCCUAAGGACGGAGGCUGCAGGGUGCAGAGAGCCUCUGGGUCUGCCAUUAACUGGCUGGAGAUACCUGGAGCCAGACAUUUGACUCCUCGGGCUCUAGAGUCCUCCCGAUAAAGUCCUCCCCCGAGGGUAGAAGUGUGGCCCAGAGAAGGCAAACCCCUGCCUGAGGACCUUUGGAGUGGAUCAGCUCCUGAAGACGCCUGAGGUUGGCUGUAAGGGGCAGACCACCUGAGGGGACGGUGACUGCCACUCGCUAAAGAAUUUUCUUUUUGUUUUUUAAAUGUUUAUCUAUUUAUUUUUGAGAGAGGGAGAGCAUGCAUGAGCUGAGAGGGAGAGGGAGAGAGAAAGAGAGACAGAAUCCCAAGCAGCCUCCAGGCUAUCAGCACAGAGCUGGACGCGGUCCUCGAUCCCACAGACUGUGAGAUCAAGACCUGGGCUUGAAAUCCAGAGUCAGACGCUUAACCGACUGAGCCCCCCCAAGAGCCCCGAGAAUUUUCAAUAUGGCGUAUCUGAGAGGAUAGCUUAAGCCUCCUUGAGCUUUCCUUCCAAUUUUUAGUCUAUGCUUCUGCUGCUGCUUUUUUUGUUUGUUUUUGGUGGUAAAAUGUACAAAACAAAGAUUUACUACUUUAACCAUUGCUAAGCGUGCCCUUCAGGGGCAUUAGGCACAUUCGCACUAGUGUGCAGCCGUUCCCACCAUCCAUCUCCAGAACUUUCUCAUCUUCCCCAACCCAAACCGUGUCCCCUUUCAACACUGACUCCCCUCUUGCCCCAUCUGCCCGGGUCCUGGUAACCACUGUUCUAGAGCUCUGACUGUUCUGGAGAUCUCUUACAAGUAGAAUCCUGUAACAGUUGUCCUUCUGUGAUUACUUUGACCUCUUGAAUCAACAGUUUUUAGAAGUUAGUCCAUCAAAUUGGCCACCUGUGCCCGCAGACAAGCACGCUUCAGGUCCCUGCUCAGAAAGUGACGGCGUUCUGGGAAGGCGGGAAGUGAACAGGAAAAGGGCCCACAGCCCUGGCGGUUGGACCCCCACCCCCGCCUCCAAGCCCAGCCACGCUCCAGCCGCAUUAAAGAGCACGGUCAGUCGUAAGAAUACCGAAGCCACACGUGAGCCAGAGCGAAGAAAAAAAAUCAGCUUCCUGUUUUCACACUGGAAGAGAGAGCGCGUGAGUGGGGAAGGUUGCAGAGACAGAGACAGAGAAUCCCGAGCAGGCUCCGCACUGUCAGCACAGAGCCUGACGCCAGGCUCGAACUCACGAACCGCGAGAUCAUGACCGAAGCCGAAACCAAGACUAACCAACCAAGGCCCCCGGGCGCCCCAAUCUCAGCUCUUUUCAACAGCAAGCGGGCUUUCUGGUUUUAGAACCAAGUAAGAGGCACCGUCUGUUCAAUAAGAAAGUAAAGCAGCCACCAAGUUGACAAGGAACUUUGGAAGCAAAGUGUAACUCAGACCCGUAGGACACA